ensembl:lncRNA ENTPD1-AS1 ENTPD1 antisense RNA 1
GCGUCACUUCCGGGAGACUCUGGCCGCGGCGAUUCAAUAUAUCCGGAAGCAACUGUCAUGGCUGCUGUCAGUGAGGGCCCGUAAUGGAGAUCGAGUCAAGGGUUGCCCAGGGACACUUAAGAGCCUUCGGCUUCAAGGAGGCCUCUCAAAGGACAAAGGAUGAGACUGCCUGGCGGCAGAGUGCCCCCCACAAUCGUAGGAACUGUGUCGCCGCGCUUCCCGUUAACUUGCCGCUAAGUUUUUCUAGAAAAGUCGCCCUUCUUGCCAGGGGUGUCCUAUAGACUUUGUCAUGGAGUGAAACAGAAACAAAUGUGAGUUAAUCAUUAACAUUUCCUAGUGGUUAAAAUUACUUUUUAAGCGCUUAACUGUGUAUUUUUUAGAUUGAAGAUUUCAAAUGAAAUUUUGAUUUGACUGAAAUAUUUAAUAUGUGAUGAGUUGAUAUUAAAAUACAGAAGAUUACUAUUUUUAUAGAAACAAUAAUGUAGAAACUAAUAUUUGAAGCAGGUUUACUCCACAUACUGUGUUAUAAUUUAAAUUUUCACUUAAACUCUCAAAAUCAGAAGAGCUGACCUAGUAAGGCUUAAACCUCUAAAACUUGUGGUUUUAACAAGGCUUAAUAUACGUAGUUAUAAUAGUUUUUAAAAAAAUUGUUAUCAAGUUCCUCAGGUGAUUCUGAUAUAGUAUUUUAAAGAAAGCAAAGAGAAAUGAUCUGUUUAUACAUUUUAAAUAUUUUGUUCCUUAUUUAUGUAUUGAGACUGUGCUUAUAAAUGCAUUCACACGCAUUGAAGUACAUAAUUUGAUCGUCAUGCCAGCCUGGAAUCUUGCUUUUUGUAUGGUUUCUUGCAGGUAGGUCUAUUGGGUUCUUGGCAUAGUACCUGGACAAAACAUUGUUAAGGUGGAAAUUUUCAUUGUAUUUAUCACUUCAAACACUUGACCAGUUUAUUUAGUUUUCAAGCGCUUUAGACAACUAUAUGUGGGCUUGACUUAGUGUAUAAUAAAUGUAAAGUUUGAUCUCAAGUAGUUGACAUUUAUGGAGUAUUUACCAUAUGCCAAUCUUUGUGAUAAUUGCUAGACAUAUUUUAUUUAAUGCUUACAGCAGUACUGUGAGUUAGGUUUGUUAAAUCCCUGUUUUAAUAGAUGGAGAAACUGAGGCAAGGACGGAUUAAGUUACAAAUCCGUCUUUGUAACUUAGAGCCAUCUUCUUACCUACUUGUUUUGUAUGACACCCUUUUCCUCCAUAUAACUGAACACUGGUAGAAGAGUGAAUGACUGUAGAAAACAGACCUGGACUCUAUUCUACCUGUCCAGCUUUGUAAACUAGGGCAAGUUGUGUGACCACUCUGAAUUUCAUUUUCCUCACCUAUAAUAAAUGAAAACUUUGAACUAUUAUGUUUUAUUGAAUCUUGAAUCAUCAGAAAUCCUUAAGGCUGGGUGUGGUGCUUCACGCCUGUAAUCCCACCACUUUGGGAGGCCCAGAUGGGAGGAUUGCUUGAGGCCAGGAGUUUGAGACCAGCCUGGUCAGUCAGCAUAGCGAUAUCCCAUCUCUACCACAAAAAAAAAAAAAAAAA